ACGAACGCUGGCGGCGUGCUUAACACAUGCAAGUCGAGCGGUAAGGCCCUUUCGGGGGUACACGAGCGGCGAACGGGUGAGUAACACGUGGGUGACCUGCCCUCAGCUCUGGGAUAAGCCCGGGAAACUGGGUCUAAUACUGGAUAUUACUCUGCGGUGCAUGCCGUGGGGUGGAAAGCCUUGUGCGGCUGGGGAUGGGCCCGCGGCCUAUCAGCUUGUUGGUGGGGUGAUGGCCACCAAGGCGACGACGGGUAGCCGGCCUGAGAGGGCGACCGGCCACACUGGGACUGAGACACGGCCCAGACUCCUACGGGAGGCAGCAGUGGGGAAUCUUGCGCAAUGGGCGAAAGCCUGACGCAGCGACGCCGCGUGAGGGAUGACGGCCU
rnacentral:rRNA from 1 species